GGCGGACGGGUGAGUAAUGUCUGGGAAACUGCCUGAUGGAGGGGAUAACUACUGGAAACGGUAGCUAAUACCGCAUAACGUCGCAAGACCAAAGAGGGGGACCUUCGGGCCUCUUGCCAUCGGAUGUGCCCAGAUGGGAUUAGCUAGUAGGUGGGGUAACGGCUCACCUAGGCGACGAUCCCUAGCUGGUCUGAGAGGAUGACCAGCCACACUGGAACUGAGACACGGUCCAGACUCCUACGGGAGGCAGCAUG
rnacentral:rRNA from 1 species